AUUGAACGCUGGCGGCAUGCCUUACACAUGCAAGUCGAACGGCAGCACGGGGGCAACCCUGGUGGCGAGUGGCGAACGGGUGAGUAAUGCAUCGGAACGUGCCCAGUAGUGGGGGAUAACCAGUCGAAAGACUGGCUAAUACCGCAUACGACCUAAGGGUGAAAGCGGGGGACCGUAAGGCCUCGCGCUAUUGGAGCGGCCGAUGUCUGAUUAGCUAGUUGGGGGGGUAAGAGCCCACCAAGGCGACGAUCAGUAGCUGGUCUGUGAGGACGACCAGCCACACUGGGACUGAGACACGGCCCAGACUCCUACGGGAGGCAGCAGUGGGGAAUUUUGGACAAUGGGCGCAAGCCUGAUCCAGCCAUGCCGCGUGCGGGAAGAAGGCCUUCGGGUUGUAAACCGCUUUUGGCAGGAACGAAACGGCGCAGGCCAAUACCUUGCGCUAAUGACGGUACCUGCAGAAUAAGCACCGGCUAACUACGUGCCAGCCGCCGCAGUAACAC
rnacentral:rRNA from 1 species